UUACUCUGAGUAACCUAACUG
rnacentral:miRNA from 1 species